CUCCAGCCCACUGAGUGCCCACUUUAGGCAGUGUGGGCAAACACAGGUGGGGCCACCACGGAAACUGGAAACCCAUAUGGGGCCCACAUUCUUUGUGUACCUUUGGGCCAGCAGAGUUCACAUUUUCUCAUGGACUUCAAACUGUUAGAGACAGCAACUUUUCUGAUGGAUGAGUCUAAAACAUGUCUGCCCUAUUUUCCAUCUUUCGUUUGGACAAACGUCUGAUUACCACAGCGGUACACGCCUCCCAAGUGACCUCUGUUAUGGAGGUGGUCUCGUUCAAUCCCGUGUCUCCAUUCAGCCUCCCCUGGUCCCUCCUAAACCCCUGGAAGCAGCAGUGAGCUGCUGUUUGGUUUUAGGAGGCAGGGCUCUGCUGAAUACGGUCGAGGCUGCGAGGACGACAGUUUCAUCAUUCUGCAUUGUUGUGGUCUGAUCAGGAAACCAGAUCCUCCAUGGAAGCUCGACCCUGAUCAGAUCAGACCAGACCAGACCGGCGCAGAGUUCCUCUGAGACCAGCAGCCUCCCUCUGACAGCAGAACGGCCCGUUUCCAGUUUCCACAGGAAGCCAGUGGAGGUCGACGUCCGUGUUCAAGAAGGAGGGACCGCAUCAACGUCCAAAACACACUUUUAACAACAAUGUGCCCAACGGAAAGUCACACUCUGUUUUGUCUAUUUACAACACUUCCUCCAAACAUCUCCUGUGGAAACCUGGAUGGAUAAUCUACUGUCCCAUCAGCUGGAACCUGCUGCCCUCUGGAGGCUCCCGGGUCCAACCAAACGCUCAGCAGAGCAGAAACCACAGGACGUCACAGCAGCAUGAAGUCCAGGAGGAUCCAUUGUACUCAUGGAGGGAACUUCUUGUUCCAAUAGUUAUCUGAAUUUAGUUUGAAAGUUAUUCCAACAUGUUUAAUUGAAAAUAAUCUUGUAAAUUGCUCUGAAAAGGUUUUUGAAAUCCCCUCGUCAAGGAUGAAAGCCUGACUUUCAAUUGUAUUUUAAGUUGGUGCUGAUUUUUAGCUCUUUUUGUAAAGUUGAAAUCAAGCGUUUCCAUGGUAAUGCCAAAUUAUCUGAACCACAUACAUUCAAACUCAUUUGGGAAUUAGUUCUCACCCAGAUACUUCGUGAACGAAUAUUUAGGAUUUAUGUGUCAACGUCUUAACAGUUUGUUUGACUGUAAAAAAAUCAUCCACCCAUUUGGUUCUCUGUGAAACAUAA